rnacentral:rRNA from 1 species
AUGGAUCAACUGAGUCCCAGUGGACCUGUUCCUCAACCCUCAUGGUCAUUGGAUAUCAUUCCUACGAAAGUAGUUUGCACGCUAUCACAGGGAUCUAAUGUAACUAGCAUGGACUUUCAUCCUUGUCAUACACUAUUACUAGUUGGAUCUGCUAAUGGUGAAUUUACAAUCUGGGAGAUCGGUACGCGUGAGAGGCUGGUCUCAGAGCCCUUCCAAAUUUGGAACAUGCAAGCAUGUUCAGCACAAUUUCAGUGUGUCGUGGCUAAAGAUCCCUCCAUGGCCGUUAGUCAAGUUACAUGGAGCCCUGAUGGAUACAUGAUUGGAGUUGCAUUCACAAAACAUUUGAUCCAUCUGUAUGCAUACGAGCAUCAAAAUAAAACACGUGAAGUGGUAGAGAUUGAGGCUCAUUCUGGAGAAGUUAAUGACAUAGCUUUCUCCCAGCCAAAUAAGCAACUAUGUGUUGUCACUUGCGGAGAUGACAAGCUUAUUAGGGUUUGGGAUAUGCAUGGACAGAAAAUAUAUUCGUUUGAAGGGCAUGAGGCACCUGUGUAUUCUAUUUGCCCUCAUCACAUAGACGAUAUUCAGUUUAUUUUCUCAACUUCCCUUGACGGGAAAUUGAAGGCAUGGUUUUAUGACAAUGUGGGUUCUAGGGUGGACUUUGAUGUUCCAGGAAAAUGGUGUACUACAAUGCUCUAUAGUGCCGAUGGAACUAGGUUGUUCUCAUGCGGAACAAGCAAACAGGGAGACUCACAUUUGGUCGAGUGGAACCAAAGUGAAGGAUCUGUCAAGAGGUCAUAUUCUGGAUUUCGUAAAAAACCAUCUGGUGUAGUACAGGGUGUCGUGCAGUUUGAUAUAGCUCGGAAUCACAUUUUAGCUGCUGGCGAAGAUAAUCAAAUUAAGUUUUGGGAUGUUGAUAACACCAACAUGCUGGCCUGCAUUGAAGCUGGCGGAGCCUUGCCAAGCUUUCCAAGAUUAAGAUUCAAUAAAGAAGGCAAUCUUCUUGCUGUUACUACAGUAGACAGUGGCUUUAAGAUAAUUGCAAAUAAUGAUGGGCUCAAAUCUUUACUGUCUUUUGGUAACCUGCCUUCCGAAGUGUUCAGAUCGCCAUAUGAAGCUUCUGCGAUGAAGGUCUCAGGUGCUCCUGUUGUCUCGGGCAUCUCUCCUAACAUUGGCCGAACUGAUCACUUAGACCGAAACUAUCCUGCAAAGCCAUCUCCUAUACUGAAUGGCGGUGAUCCAGCAUCUGGAAGCAUAGAUAAAAAGCGAAGAAUUUCAGAAGAAAAGUCUGAUAAAGGGAAACCUUGGGAUCUGAAGGAAGUUCUAAAUCCCCAGAAAUUUCGUCUUGAUACAAUGCUAGAAACUGACCAAGCCAGCAAGGUAUCAAAGGUGCUCGACGACGAUGACCUCCUCAGGGAGAUCAUUAUCCGCGUCGGCUUCCCCACCACCCUUGUCCGUGCUGCCCUUGUCUGCAAGCGUUGGUACCAUCAUGCCUCUGAACCCGCCUUCCUCCGCCGUUUCUGCGAGCGCCACCCGCCCUGCCUCCUCGGCUUCUACGUCGAGGACAGGGAAGAUCAUAAAAUGGCUUCUAUUCGCUUCUUCAGUUUGCUAAAUAAGCCCCAAGAGCUUGCUGCCAUCAUCCGCUCUCUGCUGGGCUACAGUUGGGAUGCCUACCGCGGCGCGCCGGCCAACUUCCUCUGCUCCCGGAACGGCAGAGUCUUCAUCAGCUUGUAUGACCAGGUCAACCGCAGCAAAUUUACAGUUGGGGCGCACAGUCUAUUAUGUCCUGAGAGAGGCCUGACUGUUGUCCCACCAUUCCCACACGUUGAAAUCCAGGAUGGCUAUUCCCGCACGAUGAAUGAUCUCUUCUCGGUAGAAGAAGUCAAUGACUUGUCCUUGUUGCAUGUGUCGGUGGUGUCUAACAUGCAGAGAACAAAAUCUACGGUGCACGUACAUAUGUGGCGACAUGGUGAUGGGGUGUGGCGCACGUAUCUUACCUUGGACACAGACCAGCUCCUUGAUCCGCGACGGGAACCAAAAGCUGUGCUCGCCAACAAUAAAAUCUACAUAGCAAGUGCCCAGAGCGACAUUGUUGUCUUUGAUUUGACUGCCUCGAGCAUCUCUAUGUUUCAGCUCCCACAAGGGGUGGAGUAUGGCGAUAGAGAUACCAUGUUGGCACAGGCUCAGGAUGCUUCUGGUGUGUAUCUCAUCCAUGCAAAGAAGCUUCAGCUUCACAUUUGGCUCCACAAGGGGGACAACUGGUUUCUGGUGGACACCAUUUGUUUGCGUGAGAUGGUUGCUAAUAUGUGGAUUCCAGGUUACAGGGUUGAGGAUGAGUCCUACGCUCCUCUUCGGAUAAAGCACGUGGGUGACUAUGCUGAGUGUAUUUUCUUGGAGAUGGGUCGAUGCGCACUGCAAUUAGAUGUCAAGUGCAUGCAGUUGCGUAAAGUGUAUAUCAUGGCAGAAGAAGAAGUGUGUUUGGGUGAUAUCCAUCCUCUUAAGAUGAUUUGGCCGCCGAUAUUCCCUGCGCUCAAGGAUAAUCCUGCAAGGUAUGAUUGA